UACGGGAGGGGCAAGCGUUGUUCGGAAUUACUGGGCGUAAAGGGCUCGUAGGCGGCCAACUAAGUCGGAUGUGAAAUCCCCAAGCUUAACUUGGGAACUGCAUCCGAUACUGGAUGGCUUGAAUCCGGGAGAGGGAUGCAGAAUUCCAGGUGUAGCGGUGAAAUGCGUAGAUAUCUGGAGGAAUACCGGUGGCGAAGGCGGCAUCCUGGACCGGCAUUGACGCUGAGGAGCGAAAGCUAGGGGAGCAAACGGG
rnacentral:rRNA from 1 species